rnacentral:rRNA from 1 species
UACGAAGGGGGCUAGCGUUGCUCGGAACUCAUCGUGGCGUAAAGCGCACGUAGGCGGAUUGUUAAGUCAGGGGUGAAAUCCUGGAGCUCAACUCCAGAACUGCCUUUGAUACUGGCGAUCUCGAGUCCGGGAGAGGUGAGUGGAACUGCGAGUGUAGAGGUGAAAUUCGUAGAUAUUCGCAAGAACACCAGUGGCGAAGGCGGCUCACUGGCCCGGUACUGACGCUGAGGUGCGAAAGCGUGGGGAGCAAACAGG